rnacentral:lncRNA from 1 species
AAGAAUUAUAUUUGUUAAGUGAUGGGAUGAACGUGUACAGUGAAACAAGCAAAGUAUGUUUGAUUAGAGUUAUUUUAAGUUGUACGUACUUUCAUAUAGCCUGUCCUCUAGAUCAUCAGUUGCCCAGGAACAUGGAGUCCUUGGGGUAGCAGACCAGUGCUGCUGUUUAUCAUCCUCAUCAGCAACUUCUUCAUCUACUCUCUGUGAAUUGCCUUGCUGUGGGUCCUGGUGCUCUUUCUCAUUACCUGGGGAGAGGAAUAACAGUGUGAAUACAGACCAGUGCUGCUGUUCAUCAUCCUCAUCAGCAACUUCUUCAUCUACUCUCUGUGAAUUGCCUUGCUGUGGGUCCUGGUGCUCUUUCUCAUUACCUGGGGAGAGGAAUAACAGUGUGAAUACAGAUUCACCUUAGCUGUCCCAGCAUCUUCUCCAGUACUGCUGUCCUGUUGUCGAUCAGUGGCGUUACCAUGACUGUCAUCAUCUCCAGUUCCUGCUGACAAGAUUAGUCAUUAGUCGUGACAACUACUUUCGAGGGGAGUUGAUGGUUACCAGCAUCUGAACCAAGUCUCCGGAAGUCCGCUCCAUGCGUAUGUUCAAAUGUGCCGCGCAGAGUGACGUCUGCGGAUGUGCGGCCAUUUUGAAAACGACGUCCCUAGCGAGUGAGAUUCACUGGGUUAUCUCCAUGUGACAGUCUAAGAAGAAUACUGUGGUGGCUGCACUUCAUAACCAGAAUGAAACCUUUUGCUGUAAUACUGAAAAAUAAAGGCACCCCUUGGAUUCCGCCUUUUCUCCAGGUUCAAAGGUUCAUGAACACUGGAUUUAUUUUGAGUAAACUUUUGCAGUUUAUUAAACUUCAGAUUUAAAAGCACCCUUCUGCAAGAAGUAACACAAUUAUGUAGUCAUGGAUAUUGAAAACAAAGGUUUUCAUACCUUCAAGAAAUUGUAAUGCAGGAGGUUGCUUUUUGUGAUUUUUAGUGAAGUAAGGUCCUCUUCACUUUGUUUCUCAAAGUUCUUUGACGCCAGGAUCUACCUUAAGUGAUAUCAAUUAUUAUGGUGGAGUUGCAAGGCCACAUGUGUGGUUUUCUUGUUCGAUCACCACUACACACACUAACUCAGAUGUACUCGUGACUUCAAGUUGUCCGCAAUCUUGGAUGACUGGAGUUCCCUUGAAAGGAGAGGCAGCUAGUUGUAUUCUGUCCAGAGGCUCUAAGGCUUCACAUGUCAACAAGGGUACUACUCCAUGCUUCCCUUCGUCUGCUAUGGUGCUCGUGACUUGAAGUUGUCUGCGAUCUUGAAUAACCUGCAUUUCUCUUGGAAAAAAUGACUGUUGAUUGAAUUCUGGCCACAGUCAGACUGGAAGAAUACUGCUUCUGUACUGGGCCCACUACAUUACCAGAGUGAAACCCUUUUGCUCAAGGAGUGAAAUAUUUUGGCAACACUUAGAUCUUGCUUUUAUAGGCACGUGUCCUGAAGUUGUCUGCAAUUUUAAAUGACUUUGGUUUCCCUGAAAGGAGAAACGGCUGAUUGUAUUCUGGCCAGAGGCUCAAAGGCCUCACACAUGAACAAGGUUACUCUAUGCUUCCUUUCGUCUGCAAUGGCUCGUGACUUCAAGUUGUAUACGAUUUUGAGUGAUUUCUAUUUCUCUUGAAGAAAAGACGGUUGAUCGACUGUGUCUUUUUUAUUAUUCUUUUUUCUUCUCCCAAAUGCCUGAAAAGGGUCCUCAGCUGUAGUUAAAAGUUGCAAGAAGUUUCUGGUGCAAACUAUCUUGUGAUUAAGAAGGCUACAGAAUUUCCAAUGUGUGAUCUUUUUUUAGCCUCCAAAUCAGCCUGUUGCCUGUUGUACUCAUUCUCUCUAGCUGGGAUAGCUUAAACUACACAUGCCGAGUUCUGAUUAAAGCAUCUCCGGUUGUGCUGACCUGAACCACUAAAGGUCUGUGGAGUUCCUAACAGCAUCGAUGAAUAUGUUGAUGGUUUCCUCUUUGCUUUGACUAUUAAAGGGAUACAGCAGCAUGGAAGCACGUAAGCACUUAGAGCACACUGGUCAUUGGCGAUAAAGGAGCGUCAAGCAAGCAUGCAAAUCUGCCACUGACAGAUGUAUUGCGCAGCAUUGGUGGUAGGACAGCGGACAGCAGUGCAGCUAGAGAGAGAUAGAAAAUCAUGCACUUUCCAAAACCUGCAACAAGCCUCAGAAGAAGCAUCCAAGUAAAGAUCAGUACUAUAUUAGUUGGGAAAAAUUACAUUUUGCCUGUUCGGUACAAAUCAGUAAUUUAUGUCUGUGUGUGUGUUUUGUUAAAAUAAAGGUAUUAUAUUUGUGUUGGUUUUUUGCUAGCAGUGCUGUUGCUAGCAUGAUCAUUGUUGAGGGAAUGCAGGAAGACUUGACUAUUUUGUUCCUAAUAUGACCUAUACACCUUUUACAUUCAUGGGGUAGUUUUGUUACUCUGAUCACUGAGUGACUUUUGAGGGAUAGGAUGGAAGAUAGAUUAAAUAUCUUAUGCGAUUGGCCAUGGCCGGGUCUCUUAGCUUUAGCAUGCAGUACUAUCACCGUUUGUUCUGACCCUCUCCAACCUUCCUCUUAUCACACCUAGGACGAAAUGUCAAAGGAUCAAUUGUGGUCGAGCCUCACAAGUUCAAGGGGGUGUUAACUGGUUGCCACAAGCGCAAACAUUGAAGUCUGCGGAAUUUGGCGGCGCCGGUUCAGCACUCAGGUUGGUCAUGGUGCGAUUGCAGCGCACUCUAUAGGCGGCUUUCGAGCCAGCGCCCCUGUCAUGCGGAGGGUAUGCAACCUUGUGACAGGCCCGCUCACCGGGUUGCCUAUCGUCUCCUCCGCAGGCGCGCUAGCGUAGUGUCCUGCUGUAUGAACGAGAAGACAUUGAGAUUUGAGACACACUCGAACUCUUCUCCCCUCUUACCGAUAUUGCCUUUUUUAUGCUUCCGCGAAUCUAAAAAUGUACUCAGCACAUUCUAAUGUCAAUAAAGUUACAAAAAUUCUA